rnacentral:rRNA from 1 species
GACGAACGCUGGCGGCGUGCCUAAUACAUGCAAGUCGAACGCAGUGGGGACGGGUGAGUAACACGUGGGUAACCUCCCAUCAGAGGGGAUAACACUUGGAAACAGGUGCUAAACCGAUACUGAUGGAUGAACCCGGGGGGCAUUAGCUAGUUGGUGAGGUAACGGCCCACCAAGGCCACGAUGCAUAGCUGGCCUGAGAGGGUGAGCGGCCACACUGGAACUGAGACACGGCCCAGACUCCGACGGGAGGCAGCAGGAGGGAAUCUUCGGCAAUGGACGAAAGUCUGACCGAGCAACGCCGCGUGAGUGAAGAAGGUUUUCGGAUCGUAAAACUCUGUUGGUAGAGAAGCGUUAUCUAACCAGAAAGCAACGGCUAACUACGUGCCAGCAGCCGCGGUAAUUC